rnacentral:misc_RNA from 1 species
CUGUAUCCGCCAUCACCACUCUCCAAACCGCACUCCUCGCUACCUCACUCCCCCACACAGUCCUUCCCUCUCUUGCUCUCUAACAUCUCGCACCACUUGCAUCGACUUCUGCGGCUCAGAAGAUGUUCAGCCCACCGGUGUACAUUUCCGUCGGUGACGAGUACGACAAGCGCGAGGUGAUCGCGAAGGCAACAGGGCAGCCACCGUUCGUGGUCUCCGCGAAGCGUAACCCGCACAUCACCGAUGCCACCUUCGACCCCUUCGUGUCGCUCUCAAACGGUGACCCGUACACCUCCGUUGGCUUUGCUGGGCCCUUCCGCGCAAACACUUCGGCAGGCGGCAAGACGGAGCACGGCAGCAGCGCCGCAGCCCCACCGCCGUUCCGCCCCGUCGGGGCCAGCAAGAAGAGCAGCGGCAAGGGCGACUAUUACGGCACCUUCAGCGAAAAGGCACCGAUCCGCCACGAGACCGAGUUUCCGCCCAUCAAGACGGCCGCCGACUACAAAGCCGAGACGGCCGCAGCGAAGUGCAACUUCAUCGUGAACCCGCCCAAGAAGGGCACAUAUGGCUACACCGGCCUCACCAUUGGACAGGCAGGCGAGGUGCAGUAUGUGGCGGACCCAUACGAGGGCAGCAUGCGCCGCGAGGCGCUGCAGAGAAAGUACGAAGCAACGAAGCGCAUCGGCUCGCCCUUCCGCAGUGCCGUCCGCUCCGGCGGCUGCUUCGAUGAGAGCAAGCACGGCGUGAGUCGUGUGUACGGUUUGACGAAGCCGCUGCCCCCCAAGCGCAACCCAUCAUCGCAGCAGGCGAUCGCUAGCGCCGCUGCCGGCCGCAAGCCGUGGGUGCCUGGCGGCGCUCUUGUCCCUGAUUUACUGAAGCAGCCGGAGUACCAGGAAGACCCGUACGACGUGAAGGAACAGAAGGUGCGGGCAAUGCGCCAGAAGGAAAGUACCUACAAGCCAUGGAUCCCGGCCGGGAACGACCCGUACCGGUACAUCUACACGAAACCCAUCAACUACGACCCUCCGGCAGUUGUGUAACGGGCACCGCAGCGUCGCUCUCCCCUCGUUGUUCUUGUUGUGCGCAUCCGUCUGUGCCGCUGCUCUCGUGCGCUGCGCAGAGGAGUGGAAAGGGGAGGGGGGAGGGGGGUCGGUAGUACGGGUCGCUGAUCUACGUACAGAGCUAGAAAAAAAAAAAAACAGAAUGUACAUAAAAGACGGCGGCGGAGGGUCAAGAGUGGUGUCUCUGUGUUUCCUGUCCUCGUUGUGGCUGUCCUGUCGCUGUCCCGCCUCCUCACACACACACACACAUACACCAGCCCUUCCCCGGCUUCCCUUCCUAUGUUCAUUAAGAUGCAGCGUUGCCCUGUUCUAUGUCUUCUGUUGCUGUUGUUCGCUCGUCGGCUGUUGUGGCUGGGGAAUAUCUCACCCUCCCCCCUUCCUCCUUCCUCCGCUGUUCUGCGCGGAGUGUCUCUAUGUAUCAAGUUGUACACUGCCUCCAUGUGAAGUAUAUCCAACAACAACAACGGCUGCAGUCUAUCACCUCUGCGCCUGCUGCUCACGAUGAUGGUGAUGACGCUGUGUGAAUCUGUUGUCAUUGCUCGCCCCUUCCUAUCUUUCACUACUGUAUGUGCAUCUCUCGCUGUGCUCGUUGGCCAGCGUCUAUCCCUCUUGAGGUUUGUCUGUGUCUGUGUGCGGGCGCCUCCUCUCUCUCUGACGCUCUGUCCUGCCCACCCCCCCCCCUCAGCGUGCACGUGUGGCCGCGCCUCCUCGACUCUCUAUGAGAUGGUCCGCGUGUCCACUGCCCCAACUCCCUGCGCACCUACACGUACGCACAGCUGCCGCGCUGCUUGAAAAAAGGAACAUCUUGCGACACACGCGAAGGCGAGGGGAAAACAGAAAUGUGUACGGCAUACAAUGUGUUAUGCGACGUGCUGCGCGUGCAUCGCUUGGCCACCGCGCCCCGCUGCAGCUCUACGCGCAUAAUAUUGCUCCUCUCCCCCUGCAAGCCAUCCGAUAAGACGCAAGGGAUAGUGAGAGAGGGAGUCGCUCGUGGCGCUUUACUUCUGCACAGGUCUCCCCGAGCUCCCUCGCUUCGUUUACCGCGCCUUUACGUUGUACUCGUGUGCCUCUCGCGACGCCCUCCUACCUCCCCCUCAUCUACAUCGCUCAGGCAGUGCGCGCCUUUCGCGCGUCUCUCUGUGCUUUCUUGCCCUGGUGGCCCCCUCAUGACAAGCGGGGGAGGGAUGAAGGGAGGAGCGUCGCACAUCUCCGUGCGUGGCGUCGCAGAGUCCAGUGCACCCCUCCCCCCACUCCUUAUAUCCCGGUCCAUGCUCAGUCGCUUCACGUGGUGACAGUGGUUUGAGGUCCUGGACGGCGCUGCGUCGGAGCGCCCGACGACAGCGAGCACGUGUGUGUCAUCCAUACGAUAGGCAAAACGUGUCAGGGUGACUCGAGCGUAUGCCUCACGCGGCCCUCACCCGGCCCACUGAUGUGUGGGGAGGAGCCUGCGUGCAGCCCCCUCCCCCACCCCCGAGGGGGGUGGGAUGCACCCGGUGGCAGCCAGCGCGAUGGGCGCGGCUGUGAAGCGACCUGCGAAGCGGGAGGCGGGCAGGGUUUGAGGAAGAGGCCGUGUUCUCCGAUGACCGAGUCGGCGCAUUGCUGCAAGGCGUGCGGCUACCGCUGCUUCGCGCCGUGGGAUGAGGUCCCAUGGCAGGGCCAGGGGGCUGAUGUGGGGUUUCGCUCAUGUUGUACAGCAGAGAACAGGCACGU